AUUGAACGCUGGCGGCAGGCCUAACACAUGCAAGUCGAACGAGUGGCGGACGGGUGAGGAAUGGCUGGGAAACUUCCUGAUGGAGGGGGAUAAGUACUGGAAACGGUAGCUAAUACCGCAUACCAGCGGAUGUGCCCACAGGGGAUUAGCUAGGAGGUGGGGGAAAGGCUCACCUAGGCGACGAUCCCUAGAUGGUCUGAGAGGAUGACCAGCCAACAUGGAACGUGGACACGGUCCAGACUCCUACGGGAGGCAGCAGUGGGGAAUAUUGCACAAUGGGCGCAAGCCUGAUGCAGCCAUGCCGCGUGUAUGAAGGAGGCCUUCGGGUUGUAAAGUACUUUCAGCGGGGAGGCGUUACCCUCAGAAGAAGCACCGGCUAACUCCGUGCCAGCAGCCGCGGUAAUUC
rnacentral:rRNA from 1 species